rnacentral:rRNA from 1 species
CAUCUAAGCGGGAAGCACGCCCCAAGAUGAGAUCUCCCGAGAGCUUGACUCUCCUUAAGGCACCAUCAAGACCAGGUGGUUGAUAGGUCAGGUGUGGAAGCGCAGCAAUGCGUUGAGCUAACUGAUACUAAUGAGCCGUGCGGCUUGACCAUAUAACCCCAAG